UUCACGGCAAAACGAAAUUAACUCACGGCAAAAAAAAACAUUAAUUCACGGCAAAACGAAUUUAACUCACGGCAGAACACCCCUAAUUCACGGCAAAACAAAGAAAACGAGUUGGUCAGCGGUUGUUAUUUCCUUUUCAAAUGGUAUGUCGUGUAACAGUAACCCACUGCUCGCCGUGAGUUAAUUUCUUUUUGCCGUGAAUUAAUGAUGUACUGCCGUGAGUUGAUUUUGUUUUGCCGUCAGAUAACAUUAUCUUGCCGUGAGUUAAGUUUGUAGUGCCGUGACUUUUUGUUUUGCCGUGACAGUUGUGGGCCACUGUACAAAAGCGUCAAGUGAAAAUUCCAUGAAGAUUUAAUAGCUUGAAUCCUAGGGUACUUGCACCCCAGAGUAAAAUGUGAGGAGGGGAGAUUGGUUACGAACAGUAACAGUGCCCGGAAGUGAAGUUCGAGAAAAGUCAAGUACAGGAAACAUCUUUUCCCAGAUUUGAAUUUUAGAUUUUUUUUAACGGAAAAAAUUGCAUGAAUAAUUUUAUUCCAAAAAAAAAAUUAUAUCACUAACGGCAGAUUUGUAUUUACGGUGUUGUAUUAGCUCCGAUCCUUCUAAAGUGAGCGGUUGUACCGUGUAAAAACAUGAACAUAAGUUUAGCCCGAAGUGAUGUUGACUCAGUAAAUAUAGGUGUAACAGUGAAAACAACAGUCAAUUUGCUGCUUAAAAAUUAUAUGCACACACAAUUUCGUAUGCAAAUGACUGUUCGGAGUCAAGCAAACAGGGGAAAUAAUUUUAACAACCCACCAGUCAUUUACGCAAAUGUUUUCGAAUACUUCGAACGUUGUGACGUUAGGGAGGCACGCUUAAAAAAUAAUCAGCGAUCAAGGAUGCCUUAGAGUGAACAGGGAAUGGUGUACCUUUGUUGGCGUGGAGAGCUGCAUAUGUCAUACUUGCCCUUCAUAAGAAAAGUUAUGUUCUAGGAGCUUUACCCCAAGUCAAAGAAUGAGCGAGCCGUUAUUAAGAGGAAUGUUGGUGGCGUUAAUUUCCUGCUUCUGGAUAAUGAAAUGCGAGGGUGCUGUCUCAGUGAGUGCAAGACAUAAUGCCCCCGAGGGCGACAAAACCAGUAUUAACUGCUCGGUGACAGACGAAGCGUUCACUGGAUGGUUUGACUCCAGCGGACGAAAAAUAACCAGUGACUCAUCACAAAGAAUUCAUGUGCGAGCAGAUGGAAGUCUUAAGUAUCUGGAGAUCAGCAAGGUCAAUAGAACGGACCGCGGCACCUACGAAUGCCGAGGAAAGACGAAAAAGGCGCAAGUUAUGUUACUUGUGGAAUGUAUGUAUCAUAAAUGGGGGAGUAAGUUACCUAAGCCCUUUAUAAGCCCCUACCGCUUCCCAGAUUUAAUUUCACGACAAACGUAAAUAGAUAAAAACCAUCGAACUUCUCCACAAUGGUCACCUUGGGGACAGAGGAAAGUGGCCGUCGCAGGAAAGUGGUCGUUAU
rnacentral:misc_RNA from 1 species